rnacentral:rRNA from 1 species
AUUGAACGCUGGCGGCAUGCUUUACACAUGCAAGUCGAACGGUAACAGGCCGCAAGGUGCUGACGAGUGGCGAACGGGUGAGUAAUGCAUCGGAACGUGCCCAGUCGUGGGGGAUAACUACUCGAAAGAGUAGCUAAUACCGCAUAUGAUCUAUGGAUGAAAGCGGGGGACCGUAAGGCAUCGCGCGAUUUGAGCGGCCGAUGUCAGAUUAGGUAGUUGGUGGGGUAAAGGCGCACCAAGCCAACGAUCUGUAGCUGGUCUGAGAGGACGACCAGCCACACUGGGACUGAGACACAGCCCAGACUCCUACGGGAGGCAGCAGUGGGGAAUUUUGGACAAUGGGCGCAAGCCUGAUCCAGCAAUGCCGCGUGCGGGAAGAAGGCCUUCGGGUUGUAAACUGCUUUUGUACGGAACGAAACGGCUCUGGUUAAUACCCGGGGCUAAUGACGGUACCGUAAGAAUAAGCACCGGCUAACUACGUG